AUUGAACGCUGGCGGCAGGCCUAACACAUGCAAGUCGAGCGGAUGAAGGGAGCUUGCUCCUGGAUUCAGCGGCGGACGGGUGAGUAAUGCCUAGGAAUCUGCCUGGUAGUGGGGGAUAACGUCCGGAAACGGGCGCUAAUACCGCAUACGUCCUGAGGGAGAAAGUGGGGGAUCUUCGGACCUCACGCUAUCAGAUGAGCCUAGGUCGGAUUAGCUAGUUGGUGGGGUAAAGGCCUACCAAGGCGACGAUCCGUACCUGGUCUGAGAGGAUGAUCAGUCACACUGGAACUGAGACACGGUCCAGACUCCUACGGGAGGCAGCAGUGGGGAAUAUUGGACAAUGGGCGAAAGCCUGAUCCAGCCAUGCCGCGUGUGUGAAGAAGGUCUUCGGAUUGUAAAGCACUUUAAGUUGGGAGGAAGAGCAGUAAGUUAAUACCUUGCUGUUUUGACGUUACCAACAGAAUAAGCACCGGCUAACUUCGUG
rnacentral:rRNA from 1 species